AACGAACGCUGGCGGCAGGCCUAACACAUGCAAGUCGAGCGGCCGUAGCCAUACGGCAGCGGCAGACGGGAGAGUAACACGUGGGAACGCGCCCUUCGGUUCGGAAUAACUCAGGGAAACUUGGGCUCAUACCGGAUACGCCCUUACGGGGAAAGAUUUAUUGCCGAAGGAACGGCCCGCGUCCGAUUAGCUUGUUGGUGAGGUAACGGCUUACCAAGGCGACGAUCGGUAGCUGGUCUGAGAGGAUGACCAGCCUCACUGGUACUGAGACACGGCCCAGACUCCUACGGGAGGCAGCAGUGGGGAAUAUUGGACAAUGGGCGCAAGCCUGAUCCAGCCAUGCCGCGCGGGUGAUGAAGGCCCUAGGGUUGUAAAGCCCUUUCGGCGGGGAAGAUAAUGACGGUACCCGCAGAAGAAGCCCCGGCUAACUUCGUGCCAGCCGCCGCCGUAA
rnacentral:rRNA from 1 species